UGCCAGCCGCCGCGGUAAUACGGAGGGGGUUAGCGUUGUUCGGAAUUACUGGGCGUAAAGCGUACGUAGGCGGAUUAAUAAGUUAGAGGUGAAAUCCCCGAGCUCAACUUGGGAACUGCGUUUGAAACUGUAAAACUAGAGUGUGUCAGAGGGGGGUAGAAUUCCAUGUGUAGCAGUGAAAUGCGUAGAUAUGUGGAGGAAUACCAAUGGCGAAGGCAGCCCCCUGGGAUAACACUGACGCUCAUGAACGAAAGCGUGGGGAGCAAACAGGAUUAGAUA
rnacentral:rRNA from 1 species